rnacentral:rRNA from 1 species
CCUACGGGAGGCAGCAGUGGGGAAUUUUGGACAAUGGGCGCAAGCCUGAUCCAGCAAUGCCGCGUGAGUGAAGAAGGCCUUCGGGUUGUAAAGCUCUUUUGUCAGGGAAGAAACGGUGGGAGCUAAUAUCUCCCGCUAAUGACGGUACCUGAAGAAUAAGCACCGGCUAACUACGUGCCAGCAGCCGCGGUAAUACGUAGGGUGCAAGCGUUAAUCGGAAUUACUGGGCGUAAAGCGUGCGCAGGCGGUUUUGUAAGUCUGUCGUGAAAGCCCCGGGCUCAACCUGGGAAUUGCGAUGGAGACUGCAAGGCUUGAAUCUGGCAGAGGGGGGUAGAAUUCCACGUGUAGCAGUGAAAUGCGUAGAGAUGUGGAGGAACACCGAUGGCGAAGGCAGCCCCCUGGGUCAAGAUUGACGCUCAUGCACGAAAGCGUGGGGAGCAAACAGGAUUAGAUACCCUGGUAGUCCACGCCCUAAACGAUGUCUACUAGUUGUCGGGUUUUAAUUAACUUGGUAACGCAGCUAACGCGUGAAGUAGACCGCCUGGGGAGUACGGUCGCAAGAUUAAAACUCAAAGGAAUUGACGG